rnacentral:rRNA from 1 species
GCAAGUCGAACGAGAACGGGUCUUAGCUUGCUAAGAUUGUCAGCUAAGUGGCGCACGGGUGAGUAAUAUAUAGGUAACGUGCCCUAGAGAGGGGGAUAACAAUUGGAAACGAUUGCUAAUACCCCAUAUGCCUUUAAGUCAUAAGACUGCAAGGGAAAUAUUUAUAGCUCUAGGAUCGGCCUGUACGGUAUCAGUUAGUUGGUGAGGUAAUGGCUCACCAAGACAAUGACGCUUAACUGGUUUGAGAGGAUGAUC